rfam:Picea glauca, whole genome shotgun sequence.
CUUGGUGAUUGAACGAUCCUGUGAGCGGAUGUAGAGUGUGUCUGCGUCUGCAUCAUUUCCCCUAGUAACGACGAGCAAACCGGGAAGAGUCGAGCAUAAAAAUUGGGUGGUAGCAUCGCCUGAAUUGUAGUUUGUAUAAGAGUCCUUAGUAGCGGACCGGGCCCAAGUCCCUUGGAAGGGGGUGCCUGAGAGGGUGACAGCCCUGUCGGGCUGGGACCUUGUUGCACCACGAGGCGUUGUCAGCGAGUUGGGUUUUUUGUGAAUGCAACCCUAAUCGGGUGGUAAAUUUCGUCCAAGGCUAAAUAUAGGGGAGAGACCGAUAGAAAAAAAGUACCAGGAGGGAAAGAUGAAAAGGAAUUUUAAAUUAGAGUUAAAGAGUGCUUGAAAUUUCCAGAAGGGAAGUAGAUGGAGGUCGAUGAUGCGUCUCGAUCGGAUGGGGAACGACUCAAGAUGGUCCUCCGCUCGACUGGAGGUGCGAACCAGCACAGGCCGUUGCAUCGGCACAAGCACGGGUGGAGUAUUGGCUAUUGUUUUUUUGUUGUGGCGGUCGAGGAGCGGAGAAAUCAAGGGAUUCCAACAACACUCAUUUAAAUUUAUUUUUAAUUGCUUGCCAAUACUUCUUUUAGUUUGUUGAUAUUGA